rnacentral:rRNA from 1 species
CAAUAGCGUAUAUUAAAGUUGUUGCGGUAAAAAAGCUCGUAGUUGGAUUUCUGCGGGGAACGACCGGUCCACUCAACGAGUGCGUAUCUGGUUCGGUCUCUGCAUCCUCUCGAAAGACGUUUCUGCGCUUGAUUGCGUGGUUCGGAUCUCGGGACUUUUACUUUGAGGAAAUUAGAGUGUUCACGGCAGGCUAUCGCCAGAAUACAUUAGCAUGGAAUAAUACUAUAGGAUCUGAAUCUUAUUUUGUUGGUUCCUUUGAUUUAGAUAAUGACUAAUAGGGACAAUUGGGGGCAUUCGCAUGAUGACGUCAGAGGUGGAAUUCUUAGAUUGUCAUCCGACGAACGACUGCGAAAGCAUUUGCCAAGGAUGUUUUCAUUG